ensembl:lncRNA
GGUCCUGUUACAGGAAAGGGGUCCCCAUCUAAACCCCAAGAGAGGGUUCUUGAAUCUUACACAAAAAAUAAUUCAGGGUGAGUCUGCAGUGCAAAGCAAAAGCAAGUUUAUUAAGAAAGUAAAAGCUACUCCAUAGAGUGGGACGUUCCUGAAAGCAAAAGGUGGAAAGCCCCCAUCCUAGGUAUAAUGCUUGUGUAGGUGGGUAGAUGUGCUCUGCAAAAGAGUUUGUGAUAAAGGAUUAAUUUUCUUAAUUACUAUAUUUUGCAAGAAUCAAUAUUAUCUUUAAAGCAAAAUUAGGAAUGCCUUUGUUCUCCAGAUAUUGGGAUAUCUGGACACUCCCAAGUCUGGAUCUGUUUAGUAAACUUUGUUAAUUUGUUCCCUUAACUGUGAACAUCUAGAGGCUAGGAAUGCCUAGCUUUCUGAGAAUGCAGCCCAGCAAGUCCCAGACUCAUUUUCCUAGCCCUCACUCAAAAUGGAGUCACUCUGGUUUGACUACCUCUGACAGUGCUAAAGCAAAACUUUACUUUUAUGGAAGAGAUAACAUUGAGGAAUAGAGAGAGACAUCAAAUCCGAAAUGCAGAACAUCAAAGACAAAUUAAACAAUUUGAAAGUCACCAAGCUCAAAACACAGAUUUCCCAGGAAAGACUGGCAGUGAAACAGAUGAUAAAGUUGCCACAGCCACCAGUGAUAUGUCCUUGGGUGUCUCAAAAAUAGAAUUCUGUAUCUAUCUGGAAUACAAAGUGUGAGCACAAAAUGAAGGUAUUGUCAGAUGUGCAGAGUGUGAGUUUCUAACCUGUACAACCUUGAUGAAAGGAGCAAGAAUGUAUAUUUCAGAAAGAAGGAAACAACUUGGAAGAGUGGAGUUCAAGAAACGAUGGUGAGCAAAGAAGCUGGGAACACGCUGAUUAAGGUGAGUGGCUAGAUACGGAAAAUAAUGACCAUCACCAAUAUGGAGAGUUUUCUGAAAAUAAAAGGAAAGAAUAAUUUCAGAGUGGAGACCAGUUUCAGGAAAGUUUAUCCAAGCAGCUGGGGAGACCUUGAGCCAUCUGAGGAGUCUGAGAUUUCCUAGGCAUGGGCCUACCUUCAUAUCCCUGCUGGCCUCUGGCUGGAAGAAGCCUGUGAGGGUUGUGGUCUUUCUGUGAAUGUGGUGGUCCACUGAUAGAGAGUGGAUUUCCAAAACACUCCCUUCCCCCAGUCAUACUCCCCAGAGUCAGAGAUCUGAUUGGUGCAGUUUUGUGCUCCCCACAAUGUACUCAACUUGCCAUUUAAAGUCAGAAUUUGUCUGCUAAAAUCCAAUCCAGCACCGUGGCUUAUGCCUGUAAUCCCAUAGCUCUGGGAGGCAGAUGUGGGAGGAUUGCUUGAGGCCAGUCUUUGCAACAUAGCAAGAACCUUUCUCUCAAAAACAAACAAGCAAACAAACAAAACAAAACAGAAAAACAAAAAAACCACAGAAAACAAAAUUAGUCGGUUGUGGUGGCGCACACUAUAGUCCUACUUACCAGACUAUGGGAGGCAGGAGGAUCGCUUGAGCCUAGAAGUUCCAGGUUAUAGUGAGCUAUGAGUGCACCACUGCACUCUAGCUUGGGCAACAGAGUGAGACCCUGACUCUUAAACAGAAAUUGGCUGGGCACUGUGGGAUCAUGCCUGUAAUCCCAGGACUUUGGGAGGCCAAGGUAGGCGGAUCAUUCGAGGUCAGGAGUUCGAGACCAGCCUAGCCAACAUGGUGAAUCCCUGUCUCCACC